UGCUUUCGGGGCUGUGCGGCUGGAAGUUU
rnacentral:piRNA from 1 species